CACAUGGAUAUAUAAGCGACACUCCACACAGGUUUAGCAACAAAUAGUUUUGUUUAUUUUGUCGGGCUUGUAAGAAAAGAACUAGAAAAUGAUGAUUUUUGGACUCUUGAGUAUAGUUCUGGUUGUGCACUCAACCAGUGCACAGCUUGAUUUUGCUAGCAUGUUUUCGUUAGAUAUUCUCCCAGCAAAAACUCCAAAUUGCCAUUGGGAUGCUGCAACACCAGUACCUGAACAGACUCCACGAGGAUUAGAUGGCAUAUGUUUUGACAACGAACCGUAUUAUAAUCAACAACAAAUACAGCAAGCUUUGGAAAGAGAUCCGGCAGCACAAUUUUUCUACGACGCCUGUGUUCGGAUGUACCAACCUAUGAAUGAAACAUAUUUCCGUUCAUACGACCAAUACACAUAUAAAGAUACGUGUAAAGUUACGCCUGAAAUAGUGCUGAGAGUUAAUUCCAUCGAUAAAAAUGGUGUUGUUGAACAAUGUAACAUCGUUAAUCCCUACCAACAAAACAUCUACAUGGCUA